UCUUAGUGUAAAUAAUACUCCUAUUACAUGUCUACAUGUGAACUUUUGUGGUACUAACAAUUAAAAAGUGAUUAAGUUAUUACAAUAUGUCAAAAAUUACAAAAUCAGUCAAUCUACGUAAAUGAAUCUCUUGUCCGAUUCCACGCAUUUUUAAAACAACUAUUUUUGGUGGGAAUUUCACAUUAUUUUUUCAUCAUCUUCAUUUCACAUGUCCGAGUUUACUUCAUUUCCAAAUUGACAAGCUUAAUUAUGCGAUUGCAACUGCAGAAGUGGCAGUCAUAGCAAAGAACAAAUGGAAUCAGCAGCUAUUUCACAAUUGAAAAAAAAUUCAGACAGCUUGCUUGCUGCUGUCUGAUUCAAUUCUAGCUGUUUACUUGAAUGAACACACAUUAAAAUGUAUUAUUGCUAACUUCUGCAAUCCUUAUAUACUCAUUCACCUCUGACGAGGUGACAAGGACAAAAAAUUGAAACGAUUCUUACUUCUUUCUCGAUCUCGUAGCGCAAUCCGCCUUGCCUUUUGCAGCCUUAAUCUUCGCAGCAUUCUGCUUCAUAUCGCCUUGUUUUUGCUCUUUCUUACCGCCAUGUUUCCUUUCGCUGGUGCUCUUUCCAUAUCCGUAUCCAAGGUGUUUGUUAUAUUGCCCAAACUGAUCACUGGGAGCAGAGGAAGCAUCAGAAACCAUUGAAUCAUCGCUAUCUGCAUCUUUCUCCCUGUGCUCUUCUCCACCUUGGCUACGCUCUCGAUCAUCAUCGCCGUCGUGGUGUGGGGAGUCUAUAUAUGCCGUCCACCCCGACUCGUUGCUGCUGCUGCCUUGAGAGAAUUUGGAAGGAUUCAUUGUAGGUAGAGAGAGGUGAGGGGAUAUAAUUUUGUGAUGCUUUUGUCCUAUUUAUGGAAGAAUUUCUUGACUGGAAUACUCUUCAUCACUUUGAAUGUUUUCAUGCAUGAAAAAAAUGAAAGUACUGAUUAGCUGUCUGUGCAGAUUGAAUUACACCAAUAUGUGGCUUUUUUAUUUAUAAAGAUUAAAGAUGGGACCUUUUUGCAGGUUUAAGUUUUUUUUUUCACUUGAUUAACAGAGAUUUUAGACCCUUUUACGACAAUGUCGGCCCUCAAAAUCUUGAUGCUCUUUUUAUGUAUUCACAAGCAUAAAGCUGUCUGUGGAUGAUGACAAAAGUCGGGCCGAGCCCCACCCCGCCCACGAGCAUGGUAAAAUAUGCGAAACGAGACUCUGUUGUGGUUGUGGUUUUGAACCCUUUUAUAAGUUGUGAUGGUAUCAAAGAGGAUGAGAGGGAGGGAGUCAAGGGACCCUUCAAUUUCAGGAAAAAAAAAGAAAAAGGAAAAGGGUAUUAGUAUUUAUCAUCACAGUUUGUCUUGGAUGUUAUAGCAUGUUUGCAGAAGAGGGUUGAUGUAGGAAACGGACGGAUGUCGAUCUGAUUUGGAGCCUCGGCUUGGCCAUAUUCCGGCGUGGUUCCCUACCAUAGUGUCAAUGGCUUGGCCUAUUCUCUGUUUGAACUUGCAUUCAUUGUCUCAGUGUGUUGAAUUGUCUAUAUGUUUUCUCAUUCAGAAAAUGACUUCAUUUCUUGGAGUUGGGCUCCAUGUUGAGACAGUUUCUUGGAGGUUUUCAAUCAGUGGGACAAACAGGGCCUUAGCUGGGGUUUGGAUGAAACAUUUUGUUGGUUUGCACAUAUUGGUUUACUGGUUUGAAAAUGUGGCAGCUAAGUAUAAUUUGGAUUGGGAUGUUGACAGUGUUGGGGCUCUCGUCUGCAAAUGUUGUUUCAUCAACAAUUUCACGUGUAUUCACUAACCACUCAGACUACAUUCUUUAUUUCUAUUAAGUUCUUUUGUAUUAUCGUACUCAAAUAUUAUAUACUCCCCAUAAUUUUAUCUA